CAGAUGCUGGCAAGUCAAAGUCGAUAAAAUGUGGGGCUGGAAAAAGCAAAGCUCGCCAAGCAGCAUCAGAGGAGUGGGCAAGUCGAUGUUUUGGCUGUGAUGAACGGUCCUGCCCGAAACGUCGACUCAUUACUAUCAUUACAGCAAUAACCACAUCCCACGAAUGAAUAAAUAAAUGUCUGUGAUGACAGAGGUUGGACUUCCUUCCAGUGCUUUUUCUGAGAAUGGUGAUCCAGUGAAGCAACUGAAGACUAUGACCUUUGAUCAAUGGUAGCAAGGAAAAGACCAAGGAGAUCCAUAAAGACACUGCAAAAGUCUUGACCUGUGAAAUCCAGACGUUGAGGGAAGAUGAUGUAAAAGACACGAGCACAAAGACUGAAGUUGACACUCCACUACAGUUCUGAAGCAAUCUUGUUUCAGAUGUUUUCCUCAGGAUAAACUGUUAAACCAAAGGCACCCUGCUUGAAUGGAUGUAAAAGGCCUGAUGACACUACUUUGAAGGAGAACAGGGGAUUUAAAAUCCCUGUGCUUUAGCUGGUAUCUAUUCCUUAAUCUGCAUCACAUUGCUGUUUGUGGGAGCUAUUGGUUCCCGUGUUCCUAGAUUUUAACAGUGAUUGUACUUUAGAUGUACUUCAUUAACUGUAUAGUGGCUCAAGAUAUCCAUAGUCAUGGAAAGUGCCAUACAAAAACAAGUGUUUCUUUCUUUCCCCCCAUUUGUACAUCUUGCAUCAUUGACUAGACAGUGCCAAUGGGAAUUCAAAUGAGAAAACCCAGGAAUUCCUUGUGUAGUGCACUUGGAUGGUGAGUCAGAUAGCAAAGGUUUCUAUAAAUAUAUAAAAUGAAAAAUGAA